AACGGCGCGUCCUCUGUGUGCUCCGACCUGACGUGCGGCUUGGGUCAGGGUGCGGGCGCGUGGGGAUGGCCCUCCGGAGGCCCCGCGGCGGCCUGUGCGCGCGUUCCUUCGCGGAAGGUGGGGAGAUGGAGUCGCCAUGCUGGCCGCGUGGAGGCCCGGACCCACCUGAUGCGCCUCUGCUCGCCGUGCCCAGUGUAGGUGGGAGCCAUGUGCCAUCCGAGACGCAGAUCUUCCCAGGACCGGACGGAGCCUGGCGGAAGUGAGUGGGCAUCCCGGGUUUUGUAGAUGGGUGUUUGAAGCCGGCUGUUAUAUCUGAGUGACUCGUGGAAGCACAAAGGUGGCUUAAGGACUUAAUGAAUUGGGAAGUUUGAUCUUCAGAAGUUGCAUGGAUGAUUUAGAAUUUCUGGGCCUGCUGAAAUACUGCUGUUGGAUAGAUCAUGAAUACAGACAUUAAGACAGACUGAAUAAAAAUAUUCUCAUGUG